AGAGGGUUAGGAAUUAAACCCUAAACCCGUUUUGUGUGUUUCUUCUUCCUUCUGAGCCGCGCAAUCUCACUCUCUCGAUAUCAGCUUUUCAUCAUCUUCGACCAUCCUUGUACACCCUAACUUCGCAUCUCCAUUGCAGCCAACACCAUUCGUAUCAUACUGUUUGGUAUUAGUCAUUUCAGGAGAUGCUCCUGCUCUGUUUCUCCGUGAUUAAAAACUCUGAGACAUGGCUGAUUCAAAGGUGGUGGUUCCAGAGUCUGUGCUAACUUGGUUCGAAAUUGCGGGUGGCGACAAGAAGCGAGGAGGUGGGAGCUUAGCGCCUAGCGCCAUGGCGGUACAAAGCGAGCGCUUUGUCUACCUGCAACAGAACAAGGCACAACUAAACGCCGCUUUUAGCGCUCUAUGGAUAUUGCAAAAGCGAGGAAAAAGCGAGAAAAGCUAGGGAUCUAUGUACCUCGCCUGGCAAGGGUGUCCCUAAGCGUUGAGGGCAUCGCCUUGGGCGCCUUAGCGCCAUGGCGACAAAAACUCUCGCUUUUUCGAAC